CACCAGGUUGAUUCUGCCUGACGUGGAUGCUAGUCUCUAAGAUUAAGCCAUGCAUGUUGAUGAAGCGAAUAUGUUGCGGAUUGAUAGACGGCUCAGUAAUACUGCGAUGAUCUGAUUGACGAUGGCUGGGCUAGCGACGGGAAACUGGUUGGUAAUGGCUGUAGUGUAUGUGACUUUUUAUGUUAUGUAUGUGUGUUAAGUGAGAUGCAGGCCCAUCAACUGGUAGUUAGGGUAAUGGCCUAAGUAGGUGGUGACGGGAGACGGGGGAUUAGGGUUUGAUUCCGGAGAGGGAGCCUGAGAGAUGGCUACUACGUCCAAGGAUGGCAGCAGGCGCGAAACUUGCCUAUUCCUUUUGUGGGAGGCAGUGAUGAGACGUGAUGAUUAUGAUGCGUUUUAGAUUGACGUGUUUGUACUGGAGGGCAAGUCGGGUGCCAGCAGCCGCGGUAAUACCUGCUCCGGGAGUGUCUAUGGUGAAUGCUGCGGUUAAAAAGUCUGUACUUGAGUGUGGCCUGUAUGUUGUGUCAAGGGUGUGUUUGUGGCGGCCGAUUGAUGUAUGGGGACGUGGUCGCAAGGGAUGAGGGGCACUGGAUAGUUGGGCGAGAGGUGAAAUGUGAGGACCCUGACUGGACGGACUGAAGCGAAGGCUGUGUUCUUAGACCUAUGUGUGAAUGAAAGACGAAGGCUUGAGGAUCCAAAUCAAUUAGAUACCGUUUUAGUUCCAGCAGUAAACGAUGCCGACUGUGUGAUAUGAUUUGUAUUGCGGUGUAGAAAUUGAAGUAUGUGGGCUGUGGGGAUAGUAUGUUCCCAAGGAUGAAACUUGAAGAGAUU
rnacentral:rRNA from 1 species